CCGGCCCGGCCUGUCCCCCUCCCCUUGCGGCCUGGCCGGGCAGGCCCCGUUUUUAACUAGGGGCCCUGAUUGCCCGGGGAAAGGGAAGCCUUGGCUAAGAUCCUGGCUUCCCCCAGAGUGGCCACAGCUCAGCCAGGGCCCUGCUGGGCUCGGAGCAGCCGUGGGGAGGCGAAGCCCCCGGCCGCCCCCGCAGCUCGGGGAAGCGCGGCCGGGCUCUGCUCCAGCCGAGCCCCUCAGCAUUCGCUCGCUGGGCUCGGCAGACUCCUGCAGCUUCUCCCACACUGGCACGGCUCCAGGAUGGCCUGGCCCAGCUCCUUCACCUUCUGCGUGCAAUUUCAACCCUUCCAGUGCUCGGAUAAAACUGCAGAUCGCCUGAUCUCCCUAGAAUGAGAGGAGUAAAGCAGUUGGUGAACUGCUUCCAGCAUCAUGAUGGGCUUGGCCUUGGCCAGUAUCUGGUCCAUCUUGGAGCUGACUGGCACUGGGUCCAUCAGGAAACCCAGGUCCUGAAUGUGUGUCUGAAAAUUGGACAUGGAUCCUGAAUAUUUUUCCGAAGCCCCGCCUCAGAUACUUGAAGAGUCAGAUUUUCUUUACGGCUGCCUGUGUUCACUUCUAAUAAACUCCACCAGAAGCCUGGAGAGCCCAGCAGCACAGAAAAUUGAGCCUGAACCAGACUGAAGAACUGACGCAAUCAGGCCACCAGCUCCUUUUUAAACAAGGCUUAGCAAUGACCCAUAAAAGGAGAUCCCUUGUCUUUGAAAUACAGCCUCAGCAAAUUCUCUGUCAAUUAAAAUUUAUUUAAAGAAAAUUUAUGUCAAAAAAAAAAAAAAAAAAAAAAAAAAAAAAAAAAAAAAAAGUGUGGCUUUAUUUUCUUUUUUCUUCCAGAAUGACUGUAGCAUACAUAGAAAACUUUUCUACUUUGGAAAGCUUAACCCUGAUUCCUUGCUUGUAUCCCCCCUGAAACAUACAGAUACUUGAAUUCAAUUGGAUUCCAGACAGUUCAAUACAGCAGAUGAGUUUCUCCUUGCAAAGUAUUGCUUGCUGGCAUUUUUUUCAGUAGCAAAGCAGUGAGAAAGUUUAUGUACAGAAAGUUAAGGGAAAUGUGACUGUUGGACAUAAUAAAAGCUCAGUUUAGUUCAUACACUCUUUUACACAGGUUGCUAUUUAUUUGAAAAGCUUCUGACAUUCUGUAGACAAUAAGAAGGUCAUAAAAUCCCUUCCUUUCUGAAAACCAUCCAGUUUAAGACUUUCUGUAUGAGAGAAGCCAAAAUCUUCCACAGCUCUACCUAAUCUUCCCCAGAGGACAAAUGUGCUGUUAUUUCAAACCUAUUAGUGGGCACUUUCAGUGCAAAUGGAGACUGCUGGGUGACCGUCAGCCUGACUACACACAGCCUCUUUCCUCAGCCAAAAUAAACCCUCUUGACCCUGUGAACACCCCACAGUGGACAGAGUGUGAAAGGGGUCUGAUAUAAUCCAAUAUCUAUUGCCAAACAGCUCUUAAAGAUUUAUGUAUUUUUGGUUCUUGAGAACUAGUAGAAUUUCUGGAAUUGGAGUUUAGCA